UACGGGGGGGGCAAGCGUUGUUCGGAAUUACUGGGCGUAAAGGGCGCGUAGGCGGCUCUGUAAGUCAGGCGUGAAAGCCCUGGGCUCAACCUGGGAGUGGCGCUUGAUACUGUGGGGCUAGAGAGCGGGAGAGGAUGGUGGAAUUCCCAGUGUAGAGGUGAAAUUCGUAGAUAUUGGGAAGAACACCGGUGGCGAAGGCGGCAUCUGGACCGUAUCGUGACGCUGAGGCGCGAAAGCCGGUGGGAGCAAACAGGG
rnacentral:rRNA from 1 species